GUGAACGCUGGCGGUAGGCCUAACACAUGCAAGUCGAACGGCAGCACAGUAAGAGCUUGCUCUUCCGGGUGGCGAGUGGCGGACGGGUGAGGAAUACAUCGGAAUCUACUUUUUCGUGGGGGAUAACGUAGGGAAACUUACGCUAAUACCGCAUACGACCUACGGGUGAAAGCAGGGGAUCUUCGGACCUUGCGCGAUUGAAUGAGCCGAUGUCGGAUUAGCUAGUUGGCGGGGUAAAGGCCCACCAAGGCGACGAUCCGUAGCUGGUCUGAGAGGAUGAUCAGCCACACUGGAACUGAGACACGGUCCAGACUCCUACGGGAGGCAGCAGUGGGGAAUAUUGGACAAUGGGCGCAAGCCUGAUCCAGCCAUACCGCGUGGGUGAAGAAGGCCUUCGGGUUGUAAAGCCCUUUUGUUGGGAAAGAAAAGCAGCAGGUUAAUACCCCGCUGUUCUGACGGUACCCAAAGAAUAGGCACCGGCUAACUUCGUG
rnacentral:rRNA from 1 species